UGAGGAUAUUUUGUUAAGGUCUCUCUGUCCCACUUAAUGCUGCAUCACAUGCUUGGCUCUGUUGAAUGCCUAGUGCCUAAUACAGUUCUGUCAGGGGAAGGUACUUAAUAUAUGUCUGUUGAGUGAACAGUUGGAUGAAUGAGAAGAUGGACGCUUUGUGGGGAGAUAGUCACUUUCUGGACAGAGUUGGCCUUGCGCUCAGCUGUGUUGCAUGUGUGGGGCCAGGCAGAGAAAUGGCCCUGAACUGCAGGUCUGGGAUCCUUUUCAUCCAGCAUCAUUUCUUCCCACAGGCCAGGCCACAAUCCCCUUGGUCCCUCAGACUGAGGAGGAGAACAGUGACAAGUAUGCAGAUCCUGAUGACUUGGGCAGCCUGUGGACCACACUGUCCACAUUUGUGGCCCUCUUCUUGCUCACCCUGCUCUACAGUGGCUUUGUCACCUUCAUCAAGGUGAAGCAGCCUUUCCACAGAGAGAUGGUCAAGAUUGGGAGAUACCCUGAAGCUGCAAAGAAGUGAAGCUCAGCCUCCAUGCACCAAACCUUGAUGCCAGAAAUCAGAGAGGACUCAGCCUGGACUCUGUGCAGGGAGAUGCUCCAGCCCCAUCUCUCAGUGCCCAUUCCACCCCUGUCCACCAUGGAGCCCAGCAUCCCCAAACACUUCUCAGGCUCCAGGGAGAAAGGCAGAGAGGACAGUGCUUACUUGGCAGGUCAAGCAGGUAGCCCUUCCUGCCCUGGCCCUCACCCUGUACCUUUCUGUGCAUCCCUCAAGCCAGGCACCUGCCUGUCCCAGAGCCAUCCAGGUCCUGACUGCAGCCUUCCCCUCUCCACUGACCUUCUAUGAACAUGCUUUGAUUCGUUUCAUCUGUCUUCUGUGUUACUGGGCUUGCCACAGGUCAGAGAACAUGAGGGAAAACUGAAGGAUUUAAGUUCCUGUCAAGGGGAUAUAAUCUCAAGGAAAAUCUAACUUUCUGCAUUGAAAUCUAAGGCAUGCUUCUCCCCACAUUAAGCACAUCCAUGCACACUUGCACAUACACACAAACAUGUGCAUACAUAGUCCCAUACACAUGCACAUGCAAUGCACAUUCAUAUACCUGUGAAACCCACAUACAUGUGAACAUUUGCACACACAGACAUGAACAUGCAUGUACACACACCAAGAAAAGGUGGCAGUAAAUGGUGGGAAGGGGGAACUAUACACACAGAGCACCUUCUGUAUAUGUUUCUACCUCUUACUUGCUGCAUGCCUGGGGGCAAUGCACUUAACUUUCCUGAGUUUCUGUUUCCUCCAU